rnacentral:lncRNA from 1 species
UUGGUAACAUAUAUACAAACUUUUCUCUAUCUCUAAUCUCUGUAUUAGUAAUGUACAAUUUUUCUAUAAAUGUGACUGAUUGAUAUUAUAAUAAACUAUCGCAUAUAUAGGUCGUCAUACAACAAUUACCAGAGUGGAAAGCUCAUGAAUGGAACAUCCCUAAGAAUAUACCUAACGACGAUGAUCCCGAAACUUCUACGUGAAACUUUUGUCAUUGUUGUUAGUUUUUAUCACAAAUUUGUAACGAUCGAGUUUCUUUCAAAUAUGUGUCAAUAAUAUUUAACAAAACUAAAUGAUUAUUGUAAAAUAGUAAACUUAUUAUAACCAAAACAACCAUCCACUAAAUGAAAUAUUUUCAUACAAAUUGGAUAAAAUGUUACAAAAGUCCCAACAAGAAAGAUUGAGACAAAGGAAUCAAACACAGUAACAUUGAAUCAAGAAUCCUCACUUGUUUUGCUUAGAAAUCAGCAGAAGCAAGAGGAACAUGUUCGGAAGAGCUCAUGAACACAAUUUCCAUAUAGUUGGGAAAAUCAGGUCAAUCCCGGAAGCAUUCUUCAUUCUUCCACGAGCGUUCUCCUAUGAAAAAAGGCAGAAGCUUUUUCCUUGUUAAGCCAUUUCAUCAGUAUUUCCAUGGUGACUCCAUCGGUUUUGACUUCCGAGACGUUGGAAGAUUCAGCCGCAACAAAGUUAAACUUAUCGCUGUCCUCAUUUCCGAACCUUUCCUUCACCUCAUUGCCAAACUUGUUAAAACGAUGAAUUAUAUUGAGUCUCAAGUGGUAGGAUCUUUAUUUAUACUAAGAAAAAUAUACUAUUACUUAAUUACAGCUAGUAAUUUGUUUUUCAAAUUUUUGAUAUUAUCUUUGUAUUGUUUAGUUUACCGACAAAAAAUUAACAAUUUCUAUUCAUGUGCAAAGUUUGUUUGUUUUUCACGAACUUUCAUGGAAAAGUUAAAGCAAAUUUUUUGCAUGAAUCAAGAAAAAGAUUUUAUUUUUAGUUUUAUACAAUAAGAUGUAAUUCCUUCGUAUUUGUUUUAAAGAUAGUAAAAUUAUGUGUAUAUUUUUUUUAAUUAAACCAAGAUUUGUAAGUAAUUUUGUCUAAAUUAUUGUAUAAACUUACAAAACAUUGUAAUUCCAUAUUCCACAAAAGUAUACAUGUUAAAAAAGACUUACACUACAUGAAAAGACACAAAAAAAUAGAAGAAAAUUUUGAAGACACUUUAAUCUCUGUAUUAGUUAAUGUACAAUUUUUCUAUAAAUGUCACUGAUUGGAUAUUAUAAUAAACUAUUGCAUAGGUCGUUAAUCGUCAUACAACAAUUGCCAGAGUGGAAAGGUCAUGAAUGGAACAUCCCAAAGAAUAUAUCUAAGAAAUGACGAUGAUUCCGAAACUUCUACGUGAAACUUUUGUCAUUGUUGUUAGUUGUUAUCACAAAUUCGUAACGAUCG